rnacentral:rRNA from 1 species
CCCUUAGACGUUCUGGGCCGCACGCGCGCUACACUGACGAAGGCAACGAGCUUUCCUUUACCGAAAGGUACGGGUAAUCUUUUGAAACUUCGUCGUGCUGGGGAUAGAUCCUUGCAAUUAUUGAUCUUAAACGAGGAAUUCCUAGUAAGCGCAAGUCAUCAACUUGCGUUGAUUACGUCCCUGCCCUUUGUACACACCGCCCGUCGCUACUACCGAUUGAAUGGUUUAGUGAGGCCUUCGGAUCCGCGACUCGUUUUGUGGAGAAGUUGGACAACCUCAGUCAUUUAGAGGAAGUAAAAGUCGUAACA